rnacentral:rRNA from 1 species
AUGUUGACCACGGUGUCACCCUCAACUUCCCGCUCAAUAGUAGCUAGAGAGACCACCACAGAACCUGAAAUUCACACCAUUGAAGUUCUCCACGUAGCCCACACUCCCAUCAUAGUUGGCAAUCGAAGCAAGAGCCACGAAGGAUACAAGAUUGAUCAGGAGUCAUCGGAGGAGUUGAAACAACAUAAGGAUAUACAUGACAACGCUAGAAGAAACACCUGCUCCUCAACUAUACUUUUACUCGCUUUUAAUAGCCAGUGGGCGUUACAAAGAGAGCAGAAAACAUCUCUCAAACCGAUCCGAUACUACUCCGGCGAUUCUCUUGCUUGCUGGCGCGCUGAAUUUACUGUAGUCCAGCAGAGAAAGCGGAGCAUCAACGAGAUGGCGAAAACGCGACGGACGCCGCCAUGCUUGCCUGGACUGGGGGUACACCCGGCGCCGUGCGGGUGGGCAACCUGCCCCGUCCCCCAGGGUGCUCACGCCUUCUUCACCCAUCCCGUGCCGCCAGCAUCACGCACCAGACCGCGUGGCCUGCACCUAUAUGUACUUCCCAGCUCGCCGGCAGAUACAAGCGCCGCACGCCGAUCGAAAAUUCAGACACACACUCGCAAGAAGGCGCCCACCGGCGCGAAAGGCGGCCCGGGAGGUGGUGGAGGCGGCGCCGACAUGGGCCGGAUCCCAUGCUGCGAGAAGGAGAAGGUGAAGCGCGGGGAGUGGACGGACGAGGAGGAGGACAAGCUGCUCUCCUACAUCAUGCAGUACGGCGCGCGCAACUGGCGCCUCAUCCCCAAGAACGCCGGAGUAAUUUUGGUUAGUGGUGGAAAGAUAGUGCUGUGGUCAAAGUCAAGGCGAAAGCGAAAGCCAACGCUGGUGGCACAGGCUAGUGAUGGGUAUAAUCGUUCUGAGAUAAGGCGUGUUAGUGGCUACACUGUAGCCAGUCUUGAUAGAAAUGGGUUCAGCAAACGCAAGCAACAACUUAUCAACUGGUCCAGCUGGGCUGCGUCGAAAUCGACUGACGCUUUGUUGUGGUUCAGUCGAUUCUGUGUUCGGGCUCGUUCUGCUUUCAGGUGCCCGUUUUCUGAUGGUUCGGCUCCCGUUAACAGGCUGCCAGCCCAGCCCGUUGCAGUGGAUACCGAGCGUCGGCCGUUCUCGUCUCUUAUCUCCUCGCUUCUAGUAUCCUGUCAGUCACUUUCCCCUCUCAGUUUCAGUCUCUCUUCUCCUCCAUGUGUCGUCGCCUCUUCCUAUGCAGAGCUAGGGUUCGUCGAGUUCGUCCUCUCCUCUUCCUAUCUAGAUUUGCAUCUCGACGUUUUUCUUGGUUUAGGAGAUCUCCUUUGCUGCUUCUGCUCUUUUCCAGAUUUGUUCCAAUGUCUGCCAGUUUUUGGUCCCUGCACUUAUAAUAUGCUUGUUCCUAGCUGUUUUAUUUUUUAUUUUCUGUAUGUAUGGUUUGCCCGUGCGCCGUGCCUGCCGUUCGAGCCACCCGGAGGAUUUCCUCAAGUGUUUGAUGUUGUCCUUGACGAGGAUUGCUUCAUGCGGAUGUUAUUCUUUGUGUGCAAGUUUCAUUUCUCUCUACAAGAACUUUGGGCAAUCGGAGGAGAAGGACGUAGCAUGGAAGAAAUGGAGAGGAUGGAGAUCUAUCGAGACACCAGAGGGCGGCAGUAUCUGAGUUUUGUUCAUGCGUCCAUGGUGGCGCCGCUGGUGAUGGGGGAAGGAGGGACAAGGAAGAAGACCUAG